UCCACUCUUACAGGACUCAGAAGUUCACUUCUGAAUUGAUGAGUAACUGCCAGUAGGCCUACGCUGCUUUUUGGAGCCUCGAUUAUCAGCAGAAAACCGAUUAGUUUCCAUUAUUAAUCUCAAAUUCGUGAAAACACUUGAAAGGUUAACAAUUGGGUUCUCAGGCAAUCUGAGAAAAAUAUGCUUAGCGUUGGACUUUAGCCCUACCCACUCAUAGUAACGGACGGGCGGCUCUCUUGCCAAGCACAUGUCUCGUCUGAUUUAUCAAUGCACGUUGUGACUUCUGAGCUGUCAGGACUUUGCUGGUGUCGGCAGUGAUCUACAGGGGAAGCCGUUUGGAUCUGAGGCUCCGGGUCCCUCAGGGGACUGCAGGGACUUGUGGGAAGAUGACCUGAUUUCUAAAUUUCUCCUCUCUGCCUGAGGUGCAGGCUAUUCGCCGUUUCAAAUAAAGUAGACCACCAAGGAAGCCGAUAUGAUCGAGGCUGGAUUUACCGGGCGGAUUGUGAUCUGGUUCGACUCUAGUUUUGGGCACUCAUUUGUCUACCUAACGGGCGCCAGUUCGGCAGAUGACCUCCCUUCUCUCAGUUGAUAUGGUUUAACAUCCCGGCCACAGAAAUCCCCUCGAGGUGAGCAGUCAUGGCAAACCUACAGCAGGAGUACCCGUUGGUGCUGCUGGGGAUACUGGAGGAGCUGGCCAACAUGCGCCACUGGCUCUCUUUCCAGGACCUCUGUCGCAUGGUCAGCACCCGGUUCGAUCUGGAGCACCUCGUGGAGCUCCGGAGCCUGCUGUUUGCGGCGGCCAGUCAAGACCCGUGCUUCCCUGCUACCCUCUUCAGGGACCGCGUUGCGGUCCGAAAUCUGGGGCUUUCCCCGAUAGGCGUGGCCGCGGAUAUCGUCACAAUCUUCAAUCUCAUUCAGAUGACAAGUGGUGCUUAUGAUGGCAACCAAUCGACGAGGAGCGAGGCGGCUAUCCCCAUCGACCAAUCCCUGGGACCCUCUGAGCUGCUGAGCUUUACUGGAAGGGAAAGAGCACGUUCCCACUCUGACAUUGGAAGCAAGCCCAUAGAUCAGCACUUACUCUUCCCCAAAUCGAAUUAUUCAGCCUACAAGCGCGGUAGCCUCCCGCCGGAUCCCAUCUCACUCGUGUCCUCUCCUCCGGCCAGAGCGAGGGCUGUGUCUUUCAGCCUGCCGCACAACUCCCCUUUAUUUGCGGGGGAUCAGUUCACAAGCCAGGACAUGCAGAACAUGUACCUGCCCCUGGAGACUGACAGCGAGUCCAGUGGAGAGUCUGUCCCUCCAGAGGUGUUCGAAGAGGAGCAGGAGUCCGCUGUCGACCAGAAGAGAAACAUCUUCAAGAAGGAUUUCCACAACCAGCCCCCGCUAAUACCCCAGGUGACUAUUAGCAGUGAGUCUCUUAGUCCUGGUCAAGUGCCGAAAUCCUUUGAUAACCUUAGCUUUGAGAUGCUGAACAACCCUUACCCGUCACCCACAGCUGUUCAGCAUUUACCGGAGCAACAGGUGAAGCACGAGAGCUUGGAUGACCUGCAGGACUCCACCUACUUUGGGCCGAGGUCAAAGGCCGAGUGGUCCCCACGUCACCUCCAACCCCCCAGGACCCAGAAGUCCAUGUGGACCAACAAGAGCCAUAGUCUGGAGGACCGGGUCGGCGUGGGCAGCAUGGGGUUGGGUUUGGAAGCGUCAGGGGCUCCGUUCCCGCGGCGGUCUUCCCCGGCUAUCAGCCUCCUCGGGGCCUCUUUGGCAGGGGAGUUUAGGAACAGCCUCAUGGUGGACAGAGGCGAUGGGGCCAAGGCUCAGGGGACCCAGACCGACGCCCCGGACCACAGAAGGCUCCGCAGCAUGGUCCACGCCGACCGCCUCUCCUUCAUGACCUCGCUGGACGACCCCGAGUUCGGGGAGGACGACAUCAGCGCCAUAUUCCGUUUCCUGGACGACAUGAGCAUGUGCGGCUCGACGGGCGUCCUGCACCCCAGCGAGGGUAUGGCGGCCGCGAACCCGGACACCCACGAGGGGAGGAGGGGACGCCUGGGUCAACUGCAGAGACUCUUCCACUCCCUGGAGAGCACCGACGACGGCGGCCUCAAGGCCAGCGUCUGCAAGCUGCUCCUGCGCAUGAGCCAGAUCGAGCGGCAGCUCGAGGGCCUGGCCGAGGUCAAGUCGGAGAUCUCCCAGGUCCUCUCUGCCCUGCAGCGGCUGGACGAGAAGAUCCAGCAGCCCGUGGUCGGGGGCGGACGGGGCACCGGAGGCGGCCGGUGGCUAGAGCCCCUCAGCGCCGGUGUGUCCUCGUUCAGCAGCCACCCGGUGACUCCUGGCUCUGAGACGUCAGAGCCCCAGCCUCUGUCCGUGUCCGGGCUUCUCUACCCGAGGACCAGCAGCAGCAGCCUGGACUGGAGCCGGUGGAACGCCGGGGGGCCGAUGGAGAGCGGCACGGAUCAGGCUGAGGUUUCCAAGGGCUCCAAGGAAGGGAAGAAGGAGGCGUCCUCUCGACGGGCCUCCAGGGCCCAUGCCGAGGAGAAGGCGGUUUCAGAUGCAAAGCGUCCCAGUGUGUCCCACUCUGCACGGGAAUGGGCGGUCGCAUUCUCUAAAGGCAAAGACCACAAGUCCUCUUCGUAUGAAAAAGGUGGACAGGUGGAUCAGACCAACAACAGCACAACCAACCUGCUUUCUCAGAAGCCCCCAACACUGGUGGAGCAAGUGUUUAACUCGGGCUUGUUCAAACAGAAGGACAGCAGUCUGAUGGGUGGGAUGAGCUCUGGGAAGGUCAUGGAGUCUAGAUUGGCUGGGGGGAGGGGAAGACCAAUCUGGGCGCUCCAUGACAGAGAGUCCCCCGUCUCCCCUUUAAAUAUGCAGCUGUUAAACUGAGGAAUCAAAGGAUGGAUAUAACGGAAAGCGGUAGAACAUGGUAACAGCAGCAUCAGCACCACUCCAUAUGUGAGGGUAAGUAUUAAUAUAUUUGAAUAUGCUAGCUAUGCAAGUUAUUUAUCAUGGAGCUUUGUCAAAUGAGUUGUCACAGAGGUCAUUGUGCACCGCAGAAGUUAUCCCACUACCAUUAUUCCUAUGUUUUUCCUUUAUCCUCUGUUAUUAAUAUCACAGAUCAUCAACUGUUUAAAAUAAGUACUUGUGUGUCAGACAUAAGGGGUACUAAUGCUUGAAUUUUUUUCAUAAAUAAGUCCUACGGAUCAUCUUGACUGUCCCACCACCCUUGGGGAUUGUAGCAGUGUCCACUGCGGCUAGAUGGCCACAUGCCUCUCUCCUGUGACUGAAUCAGGUUUAAGAAUCAAAGUUGAAGUUCAAGAUCCACAUUCACCCUCCUAGUCAUUGCAUGUUUGAUAUGAGCUUUCUUUUACAGCCUCUUCUUGCAUUAAAACCGCCUUUUCUCUUUUCCAGACUUGUUUUAUCUUUGUGAGGUUAGUGAAAUUGCUGCACCAGUCCCUGUGACAGCCUGUGUGAGCUGGUAUAGCAACAAGCACCAAGUUAAAUCUUUGCACUACACAUGUUCACAAAAGAUGGGUACAAGAGUAGUCUAGUGGUUGGAUAAUGUUUUUAGGACGUUAUGCUCCUCAUUUUGACAAAAUUUUGAAUUUCCCAAGAAAUACAAUAGAUAAUAACAAAAUUCCAAGAAACUUUGAGGUCUAUUGAAAAACGUUUAAGAAACUUUUAAGUAUACCAGUAAAUUAAUGCCAGAAAAUACAAGUUCUUUCAUUAAAAAGUAAGGAUGGUAUUGAGUUAUAUUUCUAAAAUAUUAAAAUUCGUGUUCAAUCAAUUAUGAGCUAGAGACGUUAACUUGGGUUAAACCUCUAGCUGUUUUUGUGGAAGAAAUUUCAGUGAAUAUGAUUUUAAAAUCCCCUGAAUCUAGAUGUCACGACAAGCAAGUACAAUGUAGCUAAUGUGCAAAACGAUAAAUGUUGACUACGAAAUGUUGCAUUUUAUAGUCUGUGGUUGCAUCGAAAAUCGUUUUUUAUGUUAGCUUCAUUGACAGUAAUAUGUGGUUGUACGUUUGAACUUUUUCAAUAAUUCAAACCACAUGAUUGACAUGAUUUAAUAACUGGGAUUGAGGCAUUUAAAGCACCCUAUUGGAUGAUAACUACAAAUAUGUCAUGCAUGUCAGACCCAAAGCAACCUGCUCUCUUUGCCAGAAAAUGUAACUUGAACAAAUUUAAAGAUAAACAAAAAAUGUGCAAGAAGUAUCGGGUGGCAAUCAAUUUUUUCAUUUGUUAAAAACUAGAAGUUGUCAAAAUAUAUUGGAUCCUCCUUUGACAGGGAUCGUCUAAAUACAAAAAGUCUCCCGUUGGCCCACCGCCUAUUGGAUCAACAGAAAGAGAAGUCUACUCUUUCUUAUCUAUAAGAGGGUUUCUAUAUAUCUCUUUAAACAUUCCAGCAAAUGUGACAUAUUGGGGAAGAUGGUUCCAGAGGGUCUGUGCUAAAACAGCAAAGGUGCAAUCAACUUUAGUUUUGCAAUUGGAGGCAGAGAGUAAAUUCUGAGUAGAUCCUAAAAUC